rnacentral:rRNA from 1 species
AACGAACGCUGGCGGCAUGCCUAACACAUGCAAGUCGAACGAGACCUUCGGGUCUAGUGGCGCACGGGUGCGUAACGCGUGGGAACCUGCCCUUAGGUUCGGAAUAACUCCCCGACAGGGGUGCUAAUACCGGAUAAUGUCUUCGGGCCAAAGAUUUAUCGGCUUUGGAUGGGCCCGCGUUGGAUUAGCUAGUUGGUAGGGUAAAAGCCUACCAAGGCGACGAUCCAUAGCUGGUCUGAGAGGAUGAUCAGCCACACUGGGACUGAGACACGGCCCAGACUCCUACGGGAGGCAGCAGUGGGGAAUAUUGGACAAUGGGCGAAAGCCUGAUCCAGCCAUGCCGCGUGAGUGAUGAAGGCCUUAGGGUUGUAAAGCUCUUUUACCCGGGAUGAUAAUGACAGUACCGGGAGAAUAAGCUCCGGCUAACUCCGUG